rnacentral:ribozyme from 1 species
UGCCCAGCAACUCCUAUCCCUACCUCCACGUGGUACUGGCUGGAAACUACGAGCAAUCUUAGGGAAGAUUGGGCAAUCAACCCUGGUGGAAGCUUUGGUCGUAGGCUGACAGGGUUUAGG